rnacentral:rRNA from 1 species
GACGAACGCUGGCGGCGUGCUUAACACAUGCAAGUCGUACGGUAAGGCCCUUUCGGGGGUACACGAGUGGCGAACGGGUGAGUAACACGUGAGUAACCUGCCCACAACUUUGGGAUAACGCUAGGAAACUGGUGCUAAUACUGGAUAUGUGCUCCUGCUGCAUGGUGGGGGUUGGAAAGCUCCGGCGGUUGUGGAUGGACUCGCGGCCUAUCAGCUUGUUGGUGGGGUAGUGGCCUACCAAGGCGGCGACGGGUAGCCGGCCUGAGAGGGUGACCGGCCACAUUGGGACUGAGACACGGCCCAGACUCCUACGGGAGGCAGCAGUGGGGAAUAUUGCACAAUGGGCGCAAGCCUGAUGCAGCAACGCCGCGUGCGGGAUGACGGCCUUCGGGUUGUAAACCGCUUUCAGCAGGGACGAAGCUUUUUGUGACGGUACCUGCAGAAGAAGCACCGGCUAACUACGUG